UACGAAGGUGGCAAGCGUUACUCGGAAUUACUAGGCGUAAAGGGCAGGUAGGUGGUUCGGUAAGUCUGUUGUGUAAGCUCCCGGCUUAACUGGGAGAGGUCAACAGAAACUACCAGACUUGAGUAUGGGAGAGGGUACUGGAAUUCCCGGUGUAGCGGUGAAAUGCGCAGAGAUCGGGAGGAACACCAAUGGCGAAAGCAGGUACCUGGACCAUUACUGACACUAAGCUGCGAAAGCUAGGGGAGCAAACAGG
rnacentral:rRNA from 1 species